rnacentral:rRNA from 1 species
GAUGAACGCUGGCGGCGUGCUUAACACAUGCAAGUCGAACGAAGCAUUUGCGACAGAUUUUUUCGGAAUGAAGUUGCUUAUGACUGAGUGGCGGACGGGUGAGUAACGCGUGGGUAACCUGCCUUGUACUGGGGGAUAGCAGCUGGAAACGGCUGGUAAUACCGCAUAAGCGCACAAUGUUGCAUGACAUGGUGUGAAAAACUCCGGUGGUAUAAGAUGGACCCGCGUCUGAUUAGCUAGUUGGUGAGAUAACAGCCCACCAAGGGGACGAUCAGUAGCCGACCUGAGAGGGUGACCGGCCACAUUGGGACUGAGACACGGCCCAGACUCCUACGGGAGGCAGCAGUGGGGAAUAUUGCACAAUGGAGGAAACUCUGAUGCAGCGACGCCGCGUGAGUGAAGAAGUAAUUCGUUAUGUAAAGCUCUAUCAGCAGGGAAGAUAGUGACGGUACCUGACUAAGAAGCUCCGGCUAAAUACGUG